UCUCGUCUCGGUGGUGUUGCACAUGAACAUACAGUCAAACUUCCCAGGGCGCAACCCCUCGCCAAUCGCCAAACAGCAGCUGCAGCUGACACUGCAUAAACGAAAGCUUGUUCCCUCGUUCCUAUUAGGGAGAUUCAAAAGUGAAAGGACGCAUUAUUUUGUAAGAAAAAGAAAAGGAUAUUCACACAACCGUUUUUUUUUUGAGAAGACAGGCGUGUCGAAUGGGAGAAUUGACACUUAUGGAAGAAGCUACUUUAUUUCACUGAUAAUAGACCGGAUUCCAGAAAUCGAUAAUUUACAUGAAUAAAAAAAAACAAGAGUCAAAAUUCGUCUCGACUUCGAACAAAAUAUAAUAUGGCGAGUCUCGAGAAUAAAUAAAUAUUAAUAUAUUAAAUUAUAUUUUGGUUUUACGCCUCAACACGCAAAAUCACCAUCAAUCGAUCAUUCAUCAUUCUUCAUUCCGGUCCAACAUCGCAAGAUUCACCUUCAAUCUUAAAGAAAAUUACUUUCAACACGAUUCGUUUAUUCCCACAGGAUUCAUCUCAAUUUCGCGAAGAAAAUUAUUUGCCAAUUGGAUUUCGCGGUAAAUUGAUUACAACUGCGGGCCACAUUGAAUGAAAUCGUCAUCGUGGCCUCACACGACGGUGGCUAAAGGAGUAUAUGUAGAAGAAGAAAUUAUGAUUCAAGAAAGUAUCGUUCAUUUUCAAUUUUUUCUCUUAUUUUUCCUUUUAUUUUUGCUUUCCCCCCGCCAAAGAAACUAUUUGUCUCUCAUUAACGAGCCUACAUUAAUCAUUCCCUCUUUCAAUGUGAGGCGCCGUGUAUACAAGAAUACAUCGAGAAAACUCGUUAUCUAUAAAGAACAAAGAAUCGAAAAACCCGUUAGUGAGCGCAUGAUUCAUUUA